rnacentral:misc_RNA from 1 species
AAGUCGUAACAAGGUUUCCGUAGGUGAACCUGCGGAAGGAUCAUUAAAUUCAGUAGCUUGCUACUGUUAGGGGGGGUCUAUUAGUCUGUAUAGUAUCACUACUGAUGAGCAGCACGACCCUCUGUCUAUACCCUUGUCUUUUGCGCACUCAUGUUUCCUCGGCAGUUCGCUGCCGCCAGGGACCCCUUAAACCCUCAUGUAAUACAGUACACUUCUGAAAACAAACCUAAUAUUUACAACUUUCAACAAUGGAUCUCUUGGUUCUG